GAGAGAAGGUAAGGGGACAGAGAGAAGAGAAGGUAAGGGGACAGAGAGAAGAGAAGGUAAGGGGACAGAGAGAAGAGAAGGUAGGGGACAGAGAGAAGAGAAGGUAAGGGACAGAGAGAAGGUAGGGGACAGAGAUAAGGUAGGGGACAGAGCGAAGAGAAGGUAGGGGACAGAGAGAGAGGUAGGGGACAGAGAGAAGGUAGGGGACAGAGAGAAGGAAGGGGGACAGAGAGAAGCGAAGGUAGGGGACAGAGAGAAGAGAAGUUUGGGGACAGGUAGGGGACAGAGAGAAGAGAAGUUAGGGGACAGAGAGAAGAGAAGGUAGGGGACAGAGAGAAGAGAAGGUAGGGGACAGAGGGAAGAGAAGGUAAGGGGACAGAGAGAAGAGAAGGUAGGGGACAGAGGGAAGAGAAGGUACGGGACAGAGGGAAGAGAAGGUAAGGGGAUAGAGGGAAGAGAAGGUAAGGGGACAGAGAGAAGAGAAGGUAGAAGACAGAGAGAAGAGAAGGUAGACACCUAGCGGUACCAGGAGCAGGACAGAUAUUGGAGUAUGAGUGUGACUGCAAUGGAGACGGUCUGCAUUGAGGACAGGGCUGGAGACAGUCUGCUCUGAGGACAGCUCUGAGGACAGGACUGGAGACCGUCUGCUCUGAGGACAGGACUGGAGACAGUCUGCUCUGAGGACAGGGCUGGAGACAGUCUGCUCUGAGGACAGGGCUGGAGACAGUCUGCUCUGAGGACAGGGCUGGAGACAGUCUGCUCUGAGGACAGGACUGGA
ensembl:lncRNA